GUUGCGGGGAAUGUUGUCUGGUUCGAAGUCAUUCAUGUGAAUGUUUUAAACGACCUUUGUGAAUGAUUUCGGACCAGGCUUCAUUCCCCCCAAC
rfam:Gossypium arboreum cultivar AKA8401 contig_84468_1, whole genome shotgun sequence.